GUGCUAAUCUGCGAUAAGCGCCGGUAAGGUGAUAUGAACCGUUAUAACCGGCGAUACCCGAAUGGGGAAACCCAGUGUGAUUCGUCACACUAUCAUUAACUGAAUCCAUAGGUUAAUGAGGCGAACCGGGGGAACUGAAACAUCUAAGUACCCCGAGGAAAAGAAAUCAACCGAGAUUCCCCCAGUAGCGGCGAGCGAACGGGGAGGAGCCCAGAGCCUGAAUCAGCAUGUGUGUUAGUGGAAGCGUCUGGAAAGGCGCGCGAUACAGGGUGACAGCCCCGUACACAAAAGCGCAUGUGCUGUGAGCUCGAUGAGUAGGGCGGGACACGUGGUAUCCUGUCUGAAUAUGGGGGGACCAUCCUCCAAGGCUAAAUACUCCUGACUGACCGAUAGUGAACCAGUACCGUGAGGGAAAGGCGAAAAGAACCCCGGCGAGGGGAGUGAAAAAGAACCUGAAACCGUGUACGUACAAGCAGUGGGAGCA
rnacentral:rRNA from 1 species